UCUUAAGUAGUUUAUAUCAAAAUGACGAUUUGUGGUGUCGUUGAUGCAUUUAUUGUGCCUUAGGUA
rnacentral:tRNA from 1 species